GGGAAGAGGGGGCUUCGAGGGGGGGAUGGAUGUCAGGGGUUCAGGAGCAGAGGCAAGGGCAAGGGAGGAAACAGAGAGCGAGGGGGAGGAGGCAGAAGAAAAGAUGAGUGAUGACGACGACCCGAGAUCUCCGAGUCUUUCCAGUGAAUCAGAAGAUUCACAGAAAGGAGCACCAGUGGCCAGGGCAAGGGGGGAGCCUAGGGGGACACCCCAGGAAGAUAGAGCCAGAGGGGACUCAGAGGGGAGCAGUUGGAAAUCGGGACCAACGUCACCGCCAGAGAGCAGGGAAGAGGAAGGGCGCCAGGGAUCAAGCGCUGGCAACUCACAACAGGGGGGAGGGCACGAGUCAGGAGUGGCCACACCUCCAUCGGGGAGCGAAGAAACGGUCAGACGGAAGGUGGAAGGUUGGGCGCGCGCGCCAAGUUCAAAUGCACAGGAAGGUGGCGCAGUAGGCAGCCCGGAAAGGGAGCCAGGUCCCAAAGCCCGCCGAAAGGAGGGAGAAGAGUCAGGGAGUCAUCGCCAGCGUCAGAGGAAUCCCGGAAGGAAGAGACCCCGGGGGGGCAGAGGGACCCAGAGAAGAACAGUCAGGCGGAAAAGGUGGAGCAGGGCUAGGAUAUUAAGUUGGUGUACAAGGGGCGGAGACUCAGACGGAGCUUCGCCGGUCUAAGCAUGAGACGUAGAGUUGCACGCAGCAGCUUGAGAAUGGAAACUGUAACUCAAUAAAGACUUUUGUUUAAUGAUCGCUGGCUAGCGUGAUCCUCUGUGAGCUAGGAUCUGGAAGCAGCUCUGACAGUCACUUUUAAUCCCUUAUUUGCAUAUGUGGACCUGAGUGAAAACUAACUACAGUAUCCCCCUGCGGGCCCAGGUGAGAACUUCAGUACAUAACACCCCUCCCCACCGAGAUAAGGCGUUAGUUGCAAUCGUAAUGGUUUCCUUAUAUACAGCACUACACGUAAUGGUUCAAUUAGGCACAAAAGCAUAUCGUUUCCAUUUCACUUACUUCCAUUAGACCGACAGUGUUACAUGUCCAACAACAUAGUCCUUUAAAUAAGUUGGGCACUUGGAAACUCUGCCAGACCGCCGGGGUCCGGGGGGGCCGCCUGAUUCUUGCUGAGGCUGUGGUGCGACCCUAGGUGGCGUUGAAACCAAGUCCCCUGGAUCCACUGCUGUGGGUGGAACCUCCGCGAGUGGAGUUGGCGGAAUGUCAGGCACAGCAGUGGUCUGAGUCUGUGGGAAGUCUGGCAGACCCUCUAAAGCAGCUUGGUUCGGCUCCACGCCCGCAGUUUGCAAGAGAGGUAUAGGUGGAGCCUCGCCAUCUGUAAGUGUCUGUUCCGGAGCCACGAGCACAGUUGGGGGUACCAUAGUAGUGUCCAAGUCCCCAACCCUGCGCCUAAGCUGGUCUAUGUGCCGGUGCCACAAACGUCCGUUUUCCAGGGCCACCUGGUAUGAGCAAGGUCCAGUGACUCCCACUACUGUGGCUGGCACCCAAGGAAUGUCCCCCACAAAGUUCCAGGUGAAGACCUGGUUGCCUGGAACAAAUGACCGUGGUGCAUUGGCACAGCCUGAGGGUUCAGCCACAGCAAAGUCUGGGUGCAGCCGGUCGAGCGGGGACCUGAGGCGGCGGCCCAUAAGCAGAUGCGAAGGCCACAGUGGCAGCUGAAACAGGUGCUGCCAGAAGAUCCUCAGUCAGGAGGAGCGAUGAAGCAGGAGCCAGGUCUUCCACAAACACUGGAAGAGGGCAACGGCUGAGGGCGUCAGCAUGGCCCAUCGAUUUUCCUGGGCGAUGGACGAGCUGGUAGUGGUAGGCAGCCAGACCAUAUUUUGCGCUCUCCUCUUUCACCCUCAUUAAAAGGUUCUUUAAUUCAUCCUCACUUUCUGCCAUCAAGGUUGUGUCAUCUGCAUAUCUGAGGUUAUUGAUAUUUCUUCCAGCAACUUGCCAUAGUUUGCUGUGGUCAGUCAAAGGCUUUUGCAUAGUCAAUGAAGCAGAAGUAGAUGUCUUUCUGGAACUCUCUAGCUUUCUCCAUAAUCCAGCGCAUGUUUGCAUUUUGGUCUCUGGUUCCUCUGCCCCUUCAAAAUCCAGCUUGGACUUCUGGGAGUUCACAUAUUGCUUAAGCCUGCCUUGUAGAAUUUUAAGCAUAACCUUGCUAGCGUGUGAAAUGAGUGCAAUUGUGUGGUAGUUGGAGCAUUCUUUGGCAUUGCCCUUCUUUGGGAUUGGGAUGUAUACUGAUCUUCUCCAAUCCUCUGGCCGCUGCUGAGUUUUCCAAACUUGCUGGCAUAUUGAGUGUAGCACCUUAACAGCAUCAUCUUUUAAAAUUUUAAAUAGUUCAGCUGGAAUAUCAUCACUUCCACUGGCCUUGUUAUUUGCAGUGCUUUCUAAGGCCCAUUUGACUUCACUCUCCAGGAUGCCUGGCUCAAGGUCAGCAACCACACUACCUGGGGUGUGUGAGACGUCCAUAUCUUUCUGAUAUAAUUCCUCUGUGUAUUCUUGCCACCUCUUCUUGAUGUCUUCUGCUUCUGUUAGGUCCUUACCACUUUUGUCCUUUAUUAUGGUAAUCUUUGUACGAAAUGUUCCUUUCAUAUCUCCAAUUUUCUUGAACAAAUCUCUGGUUUUUCCCAUUCUAUUGUGUCAAGGCUGCCUCUUCCUCGCUGGCUUGGAAUUCCUCCCCAUCGCUCUCCAUCUCCUGCCUACCCUGUCCCUCUCUCCCUGAACCCCUGACAUAUUGUUUUCCUCUAUUUCUUUGCAUUGCUCAUUUAAGAAGGCCUUCUUGCCUCUCCUUGCUAUUUUUUGGAAAUCUGCAUUCAAUUUCCUGUAUCUUUCACUAUCUCCCUCACAAUUUGCUUGCCUUCUCUCCACCGCUAUUUGUAAGGCCUCGUUGGACAGCCACUUUGCCUUCUUGCAUUUCCUUUUCAUUGGGAUGGUUUUCAUUGCUGCCUCCUGUAUAAUGUAACAAGCCUCUAUCCAUAGUUUCUUCAGGCACUCUGUCUAAAUCUAAAUCUUUAAACCUGUUCCUCACUUCCACUGUGUAUUCACAAGGGAUUUGAUUUAGAUUGUAUCUUACUGGCCCAGUGGUUUUUCCUACUUUCUUCAGUUUAAGCUUGAAUUUUGCUAUAAGUUGCUGAUGAUCUGAGCCACAGUCAGCUCCAGGUCUUGUUUUUGCUGACUGUAUAGAGCUACUCUAUCGUUGGCUGCAGAGAAUAUAAUCAAUCUGAUUUCGAUGCUGCCCAUCUGGUGAUGUCCAUGUGUAGAGUCGUCUCUUGUGUUGUUGGAAAAGAGUGUUUGUGAUGACCAGCUUGUUCUCUUGGCCAUAUUAGCCGGAUCCAAAGAAGUUUUUUUAAAGAAACGGUUUAAUAACCGUCUCUUUCAGCAGAUCUGGGAAGGGGCCUUCUCUGGCCAAAAUUUGGGUCUAGGCUGCUCUUCUAGACAAGUAGAAUGUUGCUGUUGUUGCUGUUAAUUUUGUGUAUGAAUUGCUUCCUGAUACAAAUUUAGGCAAUGCUGAAGAUGCACCUCUUUACUUGACCUUUGACACCUGUGUGUUUUCAGGGCCCACCAUAUCCUUGUGAAUGUAAUAUGUUUUAACUGUUUUUAUUUCUGAUUUUAAAAUUGUUGUAAUUCACACUUAAAUCUGCUGGUGAAGGGUGGGUAAUAUAUAAAUAAAUAAUAAUAAUACUAAAUCAUAGGUCCAUUCUGUCCAAUUGUCCCCUUCUAUCCCAUGGCAUAGGUUUUGUAUACUUUUUGCGUAAGUUUUGUAUGUAAAAUACACUUUCAAAGCAUUCACCAUUAAAAUAUGCAUUUUGUUUGCAUCCUUUAUAAAAAUAUAUAUUUCUCUACACAGUUUUUGAGGACUGCAGAAAGUGAAGAAGUUGAAUUCCAACUAGAGGUUGUGUUCACACACACAGUUGGGAGUUUCUGAUCAGGUUGGUCCACUCCAAAAAGCAGGCUAAAUGAAUUCCUCGCAUCCCUAGUUAAAAUGCCUCUUAAAUAAAUAUAAACAAUUUCAUGAAACAUUCAGAUACAGUAUCUAUCCUACUGAGUUAUUAAUGCUGAUUGUUUAAACUUAAAAAAACCUAACAAGAACUUGCUGCUGCAUAAAUGAUUUAAUGGCUGUUUGUUAUUUAAUAUAAUUACCAGAGUGAGGAUAUGCAUAAAUUUAAUGCCUGCAAUAUUUCUUUUCUAAUAUGUAGUUUAUGUCUACAUUGUUUCAAAUAUGCAUAUUGAUAUGUUACACUACAAGCCUAAACCAUGCUGAAAACUGGCUGAUGGGGUUUCAGAUGACACAGAAGUGUUCUCCAAGAUACCAAGAGAGGAUCUGCCAUUGGGCCGGCAUCUGCCCUAAAGACCCCUGGUAUACCUGUGGAAAGUUCCACAGGCAGGCGUGCCAGCUUGGCCCUGCGACCAUGGGUGCCUGGGGCCAUGGGUGCCACGCAGUGUCAUUUAGAAUGAUGUCAGGGGUUCAGGGACAGAGGCACAGGGUAGGCAGGAGAUGGAGAGCGAUGGGGAUGAAUCCCAGGACAGCGAGGAAGAGGAUGACAAUGACUCAAGAGAUUCCAUGAGUCUUUCCAGCGAAUCAGAGGAUUCCCAGAAGGGGCGCCGGUGGUCAAGGCCAGGAGCCCCAGGGGGACGUGUCAGGAGCAGGGGCCAGCAGGGGAUCCCAAAGUGGCAGCUGGGCGUCAGGACCAGCCUCCCGCCAGAGUGCAGCGAAGGGGGUGGAGGUUCCAGUGUAUCAGGGGAAGCAGCUCCGGCAGCAGAGAAGGGAGGGAGGUCGGAGCAAGCCACCCUCCCGGCAGGGGUGGGGAGUAGUGCAGGGCGGUGUGUCACUGUCAAAAGGAAGGUUAGAGGCUGGGCGCGCGCGCCAAGUUCAAAUGUGGAGGCGCGCGGAAGUACAGGGAGCCCGGAGGAGGAGCCAGGUCCCAAAGCCCGCAGGAGGGGGGAAGAGCAAUCUGGAGAUUCCGCCUCAGGGGAAUCCAGGAGGGGCGAAACCCCAGGGGGCAGGAAGACCCUGCGGAAAAGGAAAGAGAGGAAGAGGUGGAGCAGCGCAAGCUUCUUAAACUGGUGCAGGGGAGGGACUGACUCAGAGGGGACUUCAACGGUCUAAGCGUAACAGACGUGGGGCUGUGCGCCUCGGAUGUGAAGCAGACAAUGAACUCCAAUAAACACUUUUGUAUAUAAGAAGAAGUUGGCGUUGGUCUUUUGUGAGCUGAGACCUGAGGCAGCCCUGACAAAUGAGGAAACCUGUAGAGCCUGAGGGUGCCAUUCCUUUCUAGGCAGCCUCUAGGCCAUGGGUCUGUGGUUUGUGGGGGUCAGAUGAUGGAGCAGUGGAUAUGAAUACAAUACACCUCGAAUUACAAAUGGCUCAUGUUACAAAUGCUUCAGGUUACAAACUCCACUAACCUGGAAGAGUUACCUUGAGUUGAGAACUUUGCCCCAGGAUGAGAACAGAAAUGGUGUGCCAGCGGCGCAGCAGCAGUUAGAGGCCCCAUUAGCGAAAGCACGCCUCUAGUUAAGAACAGUUUCAGGUUAAGAACAGACCUCCAGAACGAAUUAAGUUCGUAACUAGAGGUACCAUUGUACUACCUCUGUACACACUAGGCUAGUUCCCAUACAUACUCACACUCCCUUUUCUAUCCUCAUCCAGGCAGCCAAGAAGCACCAUAAGAGUUCAGGGACACAUUCUAGGCAGGCAGAAAUGCUGGCAUGCUCUCCCACAUUUCACUGAUGAAAAUAGGGACCGUCUAUUCCAUCACCACCAUCAUCAUUUUAUUAUUUUAUUAUUUAUACCUUGCUCAUCCAGCAGGGUUGUGCUAGCCACCACAUAUAUAAAAACAUAAUAAAACAUUAAAUAUUUUUUAAAACUUCCCUAUACAGGGCUGCCUUCAGAUGUCUUCUAAAGGUUGUAUAGUUACUUGUCUCCUUGGCUUGGGGGUUGCAUAACUCCAGUGCUUUUAUUCUUAAAAAAUGUUUAGGUGUACUCUCAUUUUCCUACUCAUAUUGAAAUACUGCCCCUCAAUGAGGCCAAACUUAGAUUCACAAAAUGUUUAGGGGUAUGCCUACCCCUGCUUCCCCCCCAGAAAAAACCCACUGCAUAACUCCAUAUCCUCCAACAUUUCUCCAGUGAAAAUAGGGACGUCCUUAGGAAAAGCAGGACAUUCUGGGAUCAAAUUAUAAACUGAGACAGCUUCUGUAAAUCCAGUACAGUCCCUGGAAAAUAGGGACACUUGGAGGGUCUGCACUGUUGCACGUAAAAUGGGGAUGUGGCCUGGCAAGAGUCUCAAGGGCCAAUCACAUUCAGCACCUGGGCCUACAGUUCUGCAUCCCUGUUUUAGAAGUACAGAAACACCUGCCUUCCUUUAUAUCCGAUCGCCUGACUGUGAGCAGGUUCCUUCUGCACCUUACUGCUCCGCUUCCCUCAUUAAGGUAUUAUUUCUCAGCCUUUCCCGCAGUUCUUCAAGGAAUCAGCUCACAGAGCACAGCUAAGGGAGGGCUUUUUUAUUUUAAAUGGUCCCAAGGUGACUGCAUUUAAUGGUGAAGCUGUCCCUGCAGGCAAGCAGCUGCGCAGGGGCCUUUUACAAGCCUGGUUGUAAGGCGUGAGCUGUGUGAGGAAUGCCUGUUUUCCAUGGAGAUGACAUAUUUCAUUUUAAGCCUUAUGUUGAUUUAGGGGAGUAACUAAAGCUUUGUUGCACAAGGUUAAGAAGAGCAAUUGCAUAAUGAUAUUUCCAGAGCAACUGCAGGCAAAGAGGAACUCAUGGGACCAUGGGACCAGGAGGGGGGGAGCAGCUGCCCCCGAAAUCAAGUAACUUACCUAAAUCAAGUAAAUGAACUGACCAACUGUGUCACACAUAACUCAGUAAAGCCCCCCCUCAAUGAGAAGAGCCAGUUUGCUCCAGUCUGUAAGCCUUAGUAGGGAUAGGAAAUGGCUUUUGUAAUUAGAGUGGCAAAUGACAGUUCCCUAUCUGAAGGAUUCAAGUCCAGGUUAAAGAUAAAGAACCGUAAGAACGGAAUGCAGGAGGUGCCCUAAAGCUGCCCACCAAACAGCCCCAGGACAGCUGUGUGACCUGGUGAUACUUCUCCAAGAUAAGAUGGAUUGUAUGUUUGUUUAAAGGUAAAGGGACCCCUGACCAUUAGGUCCAGUUGUGGCCGACUCUGGGGGGAUUUCAGGGGGAGAGAUGAAGUCUGCAAUCCUGCUAGGGUGAUCACUUGCACAUGUCAAGAAGAAGGAAAAAAGAGGACAAAAGAUCUGCGAAAUCUUGCAUUAAAAAUUAGCAUAAAAAUUGCAUUUGCUAAUGUAUAUAGAUGGAAGUCAAUUUAGAAGGAAUGUCUUUAAUUUAAAUGCAAAUGCAACAUCUCACCAUAGUGAAGAAGGCUAUGACCAGGUGAUCUGUGUGCCUGCUCAGUCUGCUGUUCCACUACUCUUACGCAGCAUCACUUACAAGUAAAUAAGUGGACCUAAAAUAAAUGGACUCACACUGUUGGCCCUAUUUAGUCUCAUCCACACUUACCUUUCACCCUGCACUUUCUAGCUCUGCCCUUUAAAGUGCCAUAUUGCUCCUUUUUUCCUUUACUGCUGAAUCGGAACAAGUGGCAAUUCAGGUUUUCCACUGCUCCAAUUCAGCAGUAAAGAGAGGGUUUUCAUGGGGAAAGUGCAAUGUACUUGGACAGCACCUGUGCCUAGAAACAUGGCACAAAAGGGAGUCUGGAUGAGCCCUAAGGGUCCUUCAAAUUUUAAAUGUGGGGGAGAGAUAUGCGCCUCAGCUGAUCAAACACUUGGGAAGCAAUGUGUUAAUUUGUUGAGCAAAGUCACAUUGGCAAGCCUCAAGGGAUCUUAUCAUGAAAGUAAGGCUCAUAUAGUGGUUUCUAAGAUUUGGAUGGCUCACAGAGAGUUUCAGAAUCUAUCGCUUGCUUUUCUCAAGAGCAGUACAGCCACUCCAUGAGGUCACACAAACAAAGCCCUUCCCCUCACCUUCCCCUAUGACUCAGCAUAGCCUGCAUGUGACCAACUGGUCUAAACCACUUCAUGGUGGUUUGCAACUGUGGCCUGAGGUGAGGGACUCCAGUAAACAGAAAUGUUUCUACACACAUUCCCUGAGGGAGGUCAGAACCAGAAAAGAAAAGUUGAAGUUUGGGGGUGGGAGGGAAGCAUAGGAACACAGGAAGCUGCCCUACACUAAAUCUAUCUAGUUCAGUAUUGUCUACACCGAUUGGAAACAGCUGCCUAGUAUAGGAAGGAGUCUUCCUCAGCUAUACCUGGAGACGUUAAGGAUUGAACCUGUGAUCAUUGCAUGCAAAGCAGAUGCUCUCCCAUUGAGCUACAGCAACAUUAGCAUGAUGCAACACCCAGGCAGGAGCUUUUGGUCCCUUUUAGGGGAAGCAAACUAAGGAGAUGGUUCUGAGCCCAGAGAGGUCAGGGCCGUAGCCAGGGGGUGGCAAGGUGGGCUCCUGCCGGGGCACGGGUAGGGGUUGCAAAAUUGGCUGCUGAGACCUUUCGCCAGGCGCCCUGUCCGGCCAGCGCUCCCUGCCUGUAGCCCAGGCAGGACGCGGGAAAGCCCUGGCUGCACCCGUGCCCCUUGACCCUCCUAUCAGCCGGGCGCCGCGGCUUGGCUGGCUGGGCAGCCUGGUGGAGCCUUUGCAUGCCCCAGCCCAGCUCUGCCUCUCUCAGACCUCGCUUGGGGUCGGGACUGGGAAGCUCCACCAACCUCAGCCCCUAACACUGCCCAGCCCACCUCACUGCCCAACCCCCUGCCCCUCCAUUGUGUAAGUCUCUCGGAUGGUGGGAAUUCUCCAUCAGGGCAGAAGCACCUCCUUACGACAGCGAAGGAAACUCCUCACAGGCUUUCCUGUGUUGGGAAAUGGCCAACUGAAUGCAUUAGGUCAGCUACUCUGGCUACACCCCACAGAGAGGCAAUGGUUUUCCUUCACUUUGGGAACAGCCAAAAUACGCUCGUUCCCCUUGUAAUAAACGGAAAUCUGCCCUUAUAGAGUCCUUUGUAGGUUCUCCAUUGGUCGGAGGAAAGAACAGAGGCCAACCAGAGAUAUUGAGAAGCAAAGCAAGGUGUGUCCACCCUCAUAUAGACAUUUUAAAUUGCCAGCCCUGGAGUCCAAGCCCACCACCAGAAACACCAAAUAAUAAUAAUAACAAUAAUAAUAAUAAUAAUAAUACUUUUUAUAUAUACCCCGCCCUCCCCAGCCAAGGCUGGGCUCAGGGCGACUAACAAGCAAUAGUAAAAACAAGUUGAAUGAAUACAACUUAAAAACAAGAUUAAAAUACAACAUUAAAAUAUUGAAACAUUAAAAUAUUAAAAUGCAGCCUCAUCACAGGAGGAGAAAGGAAAAAGGAAAAAGAAAGGGGGAGGGAAUCAAAUUGGCUCCAAGCCAAAGGCCAGGUGGAACAACUCUGUCUUACAGGCCCUGCGGAAAGAAAUCAGAUCCUGCAGGGCCCUGGUCUCAUGAGGCAGAGCGUUCCACCAGGCCGGAGCCAGUGUUGAAAAGGCCCUGGCUCUGGUUGAAGCUAAUCUAACUUCCUUAGGGCCUGGGACCACUAGGGUGUUGCUAUUUAUGGACCUUGAGGCUCUCCGUGGGGCAUACUGGGAGAGGCGGUCCCGUAGGUACGAGGGUCCUAGGCCGUGAAGGGCUUUAAAGGUCAAAACCAGCACCUUAAAUCUGACCCUGUACUCCACCGGGAGCCAGUGCAGCUGGAAAAGCACUGGGUGAAUAUGCUCCCAUUGCAGAGACCCUGUGAGGAGCCUCGUUGCAGUAUUCUGCACCCACUGGAGUUUCUGGGACAGCUUCAAGGGCAGCCCCGUGUAGAGCAAAUUACAGUAGUCAAGCCUGGAGGUGACCGUCACGUGGGUCACUGUGGCCAGGUCAGGGCGGGAAAGGUAGGAUGAGGAUGGCAGGACACUAGGAGUGCAGUUAACAAGAGGAAAAGAGAAACUAAUAUUGGUGGUAUUCCCAAAUGGAAAUAAAACAAGAUUCUUUAAAACACUGGAGGAAAAGCUAUUGGAAUAUAAAAAUGAGGACAUGAUUCUUAUGGGGGACCUCAACGUCAGUAGAACAAGAUAGAAUGGAAAGGGAGAAAACAUCUAAAGAAGGGAAACUUUCAAAAUCCUUCUUCCAAAUGAAGAAGACUUGAAUCUAAUUGACACCUGGAGAGAUAAACAUGUAGAAGAGAGACAAUAUGCAUACUAUUCAGAAGCCAGAAAAUCUGCAGGCCAAAUAGAUGGAAUAUGGAUUUUGAGUAACUUAAGGAUAUCAAUUAAGAAAUUUGAGAUUCAACCCAAAUCAAUAUCAGAUCAUAAUCUGAUGACGUUAGAAUUAAGAAGUAAUAAGAAGAUAUGUAAAAGAUGGAGAAUGAAUGAAAGAAUUCUAAAUGAUGAUAAAAUACUUCAAAAAGCCAAAGAAGCAUAAAAGAAUUUUUUGAAAUAAAUAUGGCUCAAGAGACAGAUAUUAAGAGUCAUCUGGGAUGCAGGAAAGGCCUUUAUCAGAGGAUUUUACAUUCAACAAAACAUAAUACAAAAAAGAAAUAGAGAAAAGAAAUUAAAUCAGAUUAGGCAAGAAAUAGCAUUGAAUGAGAAUAUAUUGGUGAAAAAUCAAAAAAACAAAAUUGCAAAUCAAAAUAUUAAAAUAUUACAAUCUCAGUUUUCAUCACUCUUAACUCAAGAGAUAGAGAAUAACAUCAAAUGGAUGAAACAGAAAUUUUGAGCUUGCAAACAAACCAGGUAAACUGGUGGCAUGGCAGUUAAAAAAUAAACAGAGCAAAACAAAUGGAUAAAAUAGUCCAAGAAGGGAAAGUAAUUGAUAACCAAGAAGGAAUAAUCAAUUGCUUCUUGGGUUAUUUUCAAAAUUUAUGUAAGGUAGGAAUAGAGGAAGAACAGGACAUAUUAAAGUAUCUUCAAGGGACAUAUAUCCCAAGAAUAGCAGAAGACAAAAUUGACCAACUAAAUUCUCCAAUUACCAUGAUGGAGAUACAUCUGGUCUUCUCACAAUCAAAGUUGGGCAAAUCUCCAGACCCAGACAGGCUAUUGGCAGCUCAUUACAAAAAAUUGGAGGAGAUAAUAGCCUUAAACUUUGAGAUUUUCGCUGUCCCACGCUGCGUAGCUUACUUAUGCAUCCCUGUGUUUAGAGGGAGGCCAACAUAAGCUAGAGACAGUUGCCUGGACGAAUUUUCUUUUAUGCUGGCUAAACAUUUGUUUUUCAGCAGACAAAGAUACUUUAUUUAGUGAAGUUCUGUUAGACUCCUUCCCUUCCUCAGGGCUACAACUGUUUUGCACAAAGAUACGGCAACUCAGACUCCACAGUUUUCAUCUCUCUAAAUUAUCCAUAUCUUUCAUUUCUUUACAAGUUAUUUUUAAAGUCCAGCUAAUGUUUUUAUUUGUUUACAAUGGUCUCCUAAGUAAGUUAUGAAUUUUUCCCAUUCUUUUAAAAAGUCAUUAUCUUCUUGAUUCCUCCCAGUCAGUUUUGCCAUUUCAGCAUACCGUAUUUUUUGCUCUAUAACACGCACCUGACCAUAACACGCACAUCGUUUUUAGAGGAGGAAAACAGGGGGGGGGGAAUUCUGAAUGAAACAGUGGAUCAUUUUUGUGCUUCAUGCUGUGGCCACAGACAUGUGAUCUGAUGGUGAAUUUGGGGUGACCCAAUGCAAAAAUCCUGAGAAUCCCUGUGGAUUCAUGCUUUAUAACCACGUUUUUGCACCAUUGUGGCCCCAGGCAACAGUGGGUGCGUGAUUUUUUUGGUGCAGGCUGUAGCCAUGGACAUGCUAUGUGAUCUGAUGGUGAAUUUGGGGUGACCCAAUGCAAAGAUCCUGAGGAUCCAUGUGGAUCCAUGCUUUGCAACUACAUUUUAAGUGGGGAGGGAAGGAAAAACACAGAAGGGACAAGGAGCCUAAGAAUGCAGGAGAGGGAUUUAACGGGAGGGAGGAAAGAAAGGCAAAAGUCCCCCCACCCCACCCAAGCCAGCCCUCUCUCUCCCUCUCUCUCUCUCUCCCUCUCUCCCACCUGCAUGUUUUCUGGCUGCCUGCGAGGAGCAGGGAGAGGAAUUAGAAGGAAGGACGCUCUGCUUUCCCCUCUGCUUGCCUGGAGGGGAGGGGAUUUGCCUGCUCUUUGUUCCGUUUGAGCAAACACAGCAACGAAACACAAGUGGGUGGGCAGUAAGACCCUGAGGCAGAAUGCAGGAAAGCAGCAACUUCCUCUUUUCAGGUUUCCCUUCUCCGACACGCGAUUUGAUUUUUGACUGAUUUUUAUUCCUGCGCUCGCCCUAGUCGGCUCCAGGGACCACACAUUCGCUCAAUAACACGCACAGACAUUUCCCCUUCCUUUUUAGGAGAAAAAAUCUGCGUGUUAUAGAGAGAAAAAUACGGUAGUCCAGCAGUUUGGCUUGCCAUUCUUUACUAGUCAGGACUGUUGAUUCUUUCCAUCUUUGGGCUAGUAGCAUCCUUGCAGCUGUUGUCGCAUACAUAAACAGUAUUUUCUUGUCUUUUGGGAUAUCAGAACCUGUAGUUCCUAAUAGACAAGCUUCUGGUUUUUUAACUUUUUAAAAAACAUUUUAAACAUUUCUUUUCAAUUCAUUGUAUAUCAAUUCCCAAAAUUUCUUUACACUUCCAACAAAUAUUGGAGCUUGUUCUGUACAUUUUAGAUAACUUAGUAGGAGUCAGAUACCGCGGGUACAUCAUUUUCAUAUAAUUUUCUUUCAGCAUACAACAUGCUGUGCAUUUCAGAUCUGUUCUCCAUAGCCUCUCCCAAUCUGCCAUUUGUAUGUUAUCUCCUAAGUCCUUUGCCCAGUUUAUCAGAGCAAAUUUAACCUGUUCAUCUUUUGUAUGCCAUUCUAGGAGCAGGUUACACAUUUUUGACAGAGUUUAAAUUUAUUUUCUAGAAGUUCUUUUUGGAAUCUUGAUAUCUCAUAACUAAAACCUCUCUUUUUGUCAGUCUUGAAGAUAUCAUUCAAUUGAAAAUACUGUAAUCAAUCUGUUACUAGUUCCCUUGUUAUUGUUAUUUACUCGUGUCCGACUCUUCGUGACCCCAUGGACCAGAGCACGCCAGGCACUCCUGUCUUCCACUGCCUCCCGCAGUUUGGUCAAACUCAUGUUCGUAGCUUCGAGAACACUGUCCAACCAUCUCGCCCUCUGUCAUCCCCUUCUCCUUGUGCCCUCAAUCUUUCCCAACAUCAGGGUCUUUUCCAGGGAGUCUUCUCUUCUCAUGAGGUGGGCAAAGUAUUGAAGCUUCAGGAUCUGUCCUUCCAGUGAGCACUCAGGGCUGAUUUCCUUAAGAAUGGAUACGUUUGAUCUUCUUGCAGUCCAUGGGACUCUCAAGAGUCUCCUCCAGCACCAUAAUUCAAAAGCAUCAAUUCUUCAACGAUCAGCCUUCUUUAUGAUCCAGCUCUCACUUCCAUACAUCGCUACUGGGAAAACCAUGGCUUUAACUAUACUGGCCUUUGUUGGCAAGGUGAUAUCUCGGCUUUUGUGAUGGCCUGGGAUUCGGACUCGGAGGCUGAAGCUGAGGAAUCCCAGCCUGCACAGGAUUCCCCGCCUCCAGAACCAGCUGAGCCGGGGCUGGGGCUUGAGCCUGAAGGGUCCUCACCUGUGCUGGAUCCUCAGGUGCAGGCACCAGCUGAGUCUGCUCUGGCUCCUGAGGAGAUGGAGGACCCAUUGCCUGCAGGUGCUCCACUCUCAGCCCCGUCAGGGGAAGCUGAGGUUGCCUCUGGGUCCGGUAACCCUCCAGCCUCUCCUGAGCUGCAGAGGCUCAGGGCAGAGAGGCGGAGGGAACUAAGUUCCUGCAAGAGGAGUGCUCGCCUCCAGGCCAGGAGAGGCAAGUCACCUGUGGCCCAGGAUCGCCCUAUGCCUCAGGGCAGAUAAAAGCUAACCAGCCCCAGCCCCAAGUUGCGGGAGCAACAUUGUUGCUAGCCAGUUCCUGCCUGCACCCUGUCCUGCCGGAGCUCCUGACCUCAUCCGCCUUGGACCCAGCUUCAGCUUUGACGGUCUGCCUCCGGUGCACCCUUCGACCUUGGACUGGACUCAGACCUCGCCUCAUGGAUAACCCACGGACCAGCACAGCUUUUUAAGAUGCUGCCUAGGUUUGUCAUUACUUUUCUCCCAAGAAGCAAGCGUCUUUUAAUUUCGUGACUGCUGUCACCAUCUGCAGUGAUCAUGGAGCCCAAGAAAGUAAAAUCUCUCACUGCCUCCAUUUCUUCCCCUUCUAUUUGCCAGGAGGUGAUGAGCUCAGUGGCCAUGAUCUUAGUUUUUUUGAUGUUGAGCUUCAGACCACAUUUUGCACUCACCUCUUUCACCCUCAUUAAAAGGUUCUUUAAUUCCUCCUCACUUUCUGCCAUCAAGGUUGUGUCAUUUGCAUAUCUGAGGUGUGACGCGGCAGCUAAAAAAGCCAAUGCAAUUCUGGGCUGCAUCAAUAGGAGUAUAGCAUCUAGAUCAAGGGAAGUAAUAGUGCCACUGUAUUCUGCUCUGGUCAGACCUCACCUGGAGUACUGUGUCCAGUUCUGGGCACCACAGUUCAAGAAGGACACUGACAAACUGGAACGUGUCCAGAGGAGGGCAACCAAAAUGGUCAAAGGCCUGGAAACAAUGCCUUAUGAGGAACGGCUAAGGGAGCUGGGCAUGUUUAGCCUGGAGAAGAGGAGGUUAAGAGGCGAUAUGAUAGCCAUGUUCAAAUAUAGAAAAGGAUGUCACAUAGAGGAGGGAGAAAGGUUGUUUUCUGCUGCUCCAGAGAAGCGGACACGGAGCAAUGGAUCCAAACUACAAGAAAGAAGAUUCCACCUAAACAUUAGGAAGAACUUCCUGACAGUAAGAGCUGUUCGACAGUGGAAUUUGCUGCCAAGGAGUGUGGUGGAGUCUCCUUCUUUGGAGGUCUUUAAGCAGAGGCUUGACAACCAUAUGUCAGGAGUGCUCUGAUGGUGUUUCCUGCUUGGCAGGGGGUUGGACUCGAUGGCCCUUGUGGUCUCUUCCAACUCUAUGAUUCUAUGAUUCUAUGAGGUUAUUGAUAUUUCUUCUGGCAAUCUUAAUUCCGGUUUGGGAUUCAUCCAGCCCAGCCUUUCGCAUGAUGAAUUCUGCAUAUAAGUUAAAUAAGCAGGGAGACAAUAUACAGCCUUGCCGUACUUCUUUCCCAAUUUUGAACCAUUCAGUUGUUCCAUAUCCAGUUCUAACUGUAGCUUCUUGUCCCACAUAGAGAUUUCUCAGAAGACAGAUGAGGUGAUCAGGCACUCCCAUUUCUUUAAGAACUUGCCGUAGUUUGCUGUGGUUGACACAGUCAAAGGCUUUUGCAUAGUCAAUGAAGCAGAAGUAGAUGUCUUUCUGGAACUCUCUAGCUUUCUCCAUAAUCCAGCGCAUGUUUGCAUUUUGGUCUCUGGUUCCUCUGCCCCUUCAAAAUCCAGCUUGGACUUCUGGGAAUUCUCCGUCCACAUACUGCUUAAGCCUGCCUUGUAGAAUUUUAAGCAUAACCUUGCUAGUGUGUGAAAUGAGUGCAAUUGUGCAGUAGUUGGGGCAUUCUUUGGCACUGCCCUUCUUUGGGAUUGGGAUGUAGACUGAUCUUCUCCAAUCCUCUGGCCACUACUGAGUUUUCCAAAAUUGCUGGCAUAUUGAGUGUAGCACCUUAACAGCAUCAUCUUUUAAAAUUUUAAAUAGUUCAGCUGGAAUAUCAUCACUUCCACUGGCCUUGUUAUUAGCAGUGCUUUCUAAGGCCCAUUUGACUUCCCUUAUCUCUUCAAAAUCUUUUAGUUUUAACUGAUUUUCCACUUCAGUUAGAAGCUCUCUAUGUCAGCCAAUUACUUCUCAUGUUCACUUUUCUCAAAGAUAUUGCUUCCAAAAGAGGAAAACCACCAGCGUGUUUUUUGCUCAAAUAAUUUUUUAUAAUUUUCCUCUACCCUAAAGAUUGAUUUUCUUCUUAUAUGAUUCUGAAAUGCUUUAUGGAGCUUUGGUUUUUCAUACCAUAGGUAUGCAUGCCACUCAAAUCUAUUAUCAUGCCCUUCUAAAUGUCCUUUCCAGCAUAAUCCAGUCCCGAAUCCAGCAGGUAAAGGAUGCUUCAUAAUAAGGUUUUAAAUGUGGUAGUGUGAAACCUCCUCUCUCUUGCGUCUGUUAAUAAUUUUUAUUUUAUCCUUGGUUUUCCCCCCUGCCAGAUAAACCUGGAUAUGUCUUUGCCAUUGCUCAAAGCAUCUGGCACUGCCUAUUACCAGGGCUGAUUGAAAUUAAAAGCACAUUCAUUUAAAUCGCUGAUAUUCUUCUCCAAAAUGAUAAGUUCAUUCUUCCCCAUAUCUCUAAAUCUCUUAUUAUUUCUUUCCAUACUUUCGCAUAAUUGUCUUUAAAUACAUUAAUAUUUUUAGCUGUUAACCAAACUCCUAGAUAUUUUACUUUUUUAUGUAUAACCAAAUCUGUUUUCUGUUGUAAUUCCUUUCCCCCCCCUUGUCUGUCAUACUUUUUACCUAACACUUAGACUUAUUUAAAUUUAAUUUAAAACCUGCAACCUGCCCAAAGUUCUGUAUCUUUUUUAAAACUUUCGGUAGAGUAUUUUUAGGAUCUUCCACUGUGAUUACAAGGUCAUCCGCAAAAGCUUUUAGUUUACCAAAUUUACAUUUCAAUCCAGUUUCCACUUAUCCCCCAAAGAGCUCAAGGUAGUGCACACAGUUCUCCCCUCCCUCAUUUUACCCCCAGUACAAACUGGGGGCAGUCUUCAACUAAGGAACAACAGAACCUUCUCCCCUCUCCUCCCUGUUUGCCACAGACCCUCCCCAAAUCUGCUCCAAAGAGAUUUAGGGGACUACGGUUUGUUGUGCAAGCCAAAAUCCUUAUACUGGCAGCAUGCAUUUGUUGCACAUGGUUCUAUUGGGGAAAUUAUGCCCUUGCAUAAACAGCACAUCUGCUUUUGCAGAUGAAUGUUCAGAAUGUGAUGCCACUUUCUGGCACAAAUGCUUCUGGAAAUUGCAGCAAGCAUUUCAUCAGUCCCUAAGCACCAUCCCACUGGGGUGCAUGAACAGCUUCUGCAGCUCAUCAAGAUCCUGCAGAUUCAAUUGUCUGGCCUUGACCAAUUGAGUGCAUUCUGGAGAGAAGAAAACAAGCUCUCCCUAUUAUGCUGUGCUAUUCCCCAGACAUUUUCAUUAUCCAAGACAUGGUGCCCAUCGAACAGUGCCUUGUACUAAAAGCCACUGCUGUCAAAUUAUGUUAGAAGGAAUAGGGAGAAAGCAGAAUGCUCCACAGUUAAUCCUGUCACCUGGAAAAUCAGAAGAGAAAUAUAAUUUUGUAAUUUUUCAAAUUAAAUCAAAGGCUGUUCUCUGUACUGACAAGUUAAUCCAGUGCAGUUCCACUCAACCAUUACUCUGCUGGGCUGGUCUUGGUUCACAGUGGGAGCUAUUCUGGUCUCUGUGUGUACUUUUCAUUGUUUAGGGCAGUGAUUUCCAUUCACGUUGCAAAUGGUCACUGUGAUUAUCCAUUAAGAUAGGGGUAAGGAACUUUUCUCCACCUAAGGCCACUGUCAGGGGUUCAGGAGCAGAGGCAAGGGCAAGGGAGGAAUCAGAGAGCGUGGGGGAGGAGGCAGAAGAAAAGAUGAGUGAUGACGACGACCCGAGAUCUCAGAGUCUUUCCAGUGAAUCAGAAGAUUCACAGAAAGGAGCACCAGUGGCCAGGGCAAGGGGGGAGCCUAGGGGGACGCCCCAGGAAGAUAGAGCCAGAGGGGACUCAGAGGGGGCAGUUGGAAAUCGGGACCAGCGUCACCGCCAGAGAGCAGGGAAGAGGAAGGGAGCCAGGGAUCAGCGCUGGCAGCUCACAACAGGGGGGAGGGCACGAGUCAGGAGUGGCCACACCUCCAUCGGGGAGCGAAGAAACGGUCAGACGGAAGGUGGAAGGUUGGGCGCGCGCGCCUGAGUUCAAAUGCACAGGAAGGUGGCACAGUAGGCAGCCCGGAAAGGGAGCCAGGUCCUAAAGCCCGCCGAAAGGAGGGAGAAGAGUCAGGGGGG